rnacentral:rRNA from 1 species
GACGAACGCUGGCGGCGUGCCUAAUACAUGCAAGUCGAACGCAGUGGGGACGGGGGAGUAACACGUGGGUAACCUCCCAUCAGAGGGGAUAACACUUGGAAACAGGUGCUAAACCGAUACUUGUGGGUGGACCCUCGGUGCAUUAGCUAGUGGGUGGGGUAACGGCUCACCAAGGCCACGAUGCAUAACCGACCUGAGAGGGUGACGGGCAACCUUGGACUUGAGACACGGCCCAGACUCCUACGGGAGGCAGCAGUAGGGAAUUUGUGGCAAGGGACGAAAGCCUGACCGAGCAACGCCGCGGGGGUGAAUAAGGUUUUCGGAUCGUAAAACUCUGUUGUUAGAGAAGCGGUAUCUAAACAGAAAGCCACGGCUAACUACGUGCCAGCAGCCGCGGUAAUAC